rnacentral:rRNA from 1 species
GAUGAACGCUGGCGGCGUGCCUAAUACAUGCAAGUCGAGCGAGAAUUUUUCAAAUGACACUUCGGUUGAUUUUGGAAAAGGACAGCAGCGGACGGGUGAGUAACGCGUAGGCAACCUGCCCCUGACAGAGGGAUAGCCAUUGGAAACGAUGAUUAAAACCUCAUAACGCCGAAGGAACACAUGUUUCAUCGGCCAAAGAUUUAUCGGUCAGGGAUGGGCCUGCGUCUGAUUAACUAGUUGGUGAGGUAACGGCUCACCAAGGUGACGAUCAGUAGCCGACCUGAGAGGGUGAUCGGCCACAUUGGAACUGAGACACGGUCCAAACUUCUACGGAAGGCAGCAGUAGGGAAUCUUGCACAAUGGGCGAAAGCCUGAUGCAGCAACGCCGCGUGAAGGAUGAAGGCCUUCGGGUUGUAAACUUCUGUUCUUAGGGAAGAAGAAAGUGACGGUACCUAAGGAGAAAGCCCCGGCUAACUACGUGCCAGCAGCCGCCGUAA